GAUGAACGCUGGCGGCGUGCCUAAUACAUGCAAGUCGAGCGAACGGACGAGAAGCUUGCUUCUCUGAUGUUAGCGGCGGACGGGUGAGUAACACGUGGAUAACCUACCUAUAAGACUGGGAUAACUUCGGGAAACCGUAGCUAAUACCGGAUAAUAUUUUGAACCGCAUGGUUCAAAAGUGAAAGACGGUCUUGCUGUCACUUAUAGAUGGAUCCGCGCUGCAUUAGCUAGUUGGUAAGGUAACGGCUUACCAAGGCAACGAUGCAUAGCCGACCUAAGAGGGGGAUCGGCCACACUGGAACUGAGACACGGUCCAGACUCCUACGGGAGGCAGCAGUAGGGAAUCUGCCGCAAUGGGCGAAAGCCUGACGGAGCAACGCCGCGUGAGUGAUGAAGGUCUUCGGAUCGUAAAACUCUGUUAUUAGGGAAGAACAUAUGUGUAAGUAACUGUGCACAUCUUGACGGUACCUAAUCAGAAAGCCACGGCUAACUACGUG
rnacentral:rRNA from 1 species